GAUGAACGCUGGCGGCGUGCCUAAUACAUGCAAGUCGAGCGAACAGACGAGGAGCUUGCUCCUCUGACGUUAGCGGCGGACGGGUGAGUAACACGUGGAUAACCUACCUAUAAGACUGGGAUAACUUCGGGAAACCGGAGCUAAUACCGGAUACUAUUUUGAACCGCAUGGUUCAAUAGUUCAAGACGGUUUUGCUGUCACUUAUAGAUGUAUCCGCGCCGCAUUAGCUAGUUGGUAAGGUAACGGCUUACCAAGGCGACGAUGCGUAGCCGACCUGAGAGGGUGAUCAGCCACACUGGAACUGAGACACGGUCCAGACUCCUACGGGAGGCAGCAGUAGGGAAUCUUCCGCAAUGGGCGAAAGCCUGACGGAGCAACGCCGCGUGAGUGAUGAAGGUCUUCGGAUCGUAAAACUCUGUUAUUAGGGAAGAACAGAUGUGUAAGUAACUAUGCACGUCUUGACGGUACCUAAUCAGAAAGCCACGGCUAACUACGUG
rnacentral:rRNA from 1 species